ACGCUUAUGAUAUUGUUGGGUAGUAGCGAAUUAGUUGUACUUACAAUUUUCAAGUAGCGAGUAGUUUUUGACCACUUUUUUAAAACAGUAUAGCUAGUUGUAAGGAACUACAUUUUUUCAGUAGCCAAGUAGAUGAUUACUUUUAGAGCAACAAUGGUUAUAUACUGUAUAUAUCAGCCACUUUUCAAAUUUCUCAUCAGUCGAUUAAACGAGUAAACAGAAUAUGCUAGUGCCCUAAUCUCAUAGAAGGAUAUCAACCUCACUACCAGAGCGUGUAUAUUUUUAGUCCACCGCCAAGAACUCAGAGUUGAUAAGGCUUUCUUGAUUGCCAAUGCUCAGCCUCCCAAUCUUCUUUAUAUAACAGUGGCGAAGCUACAAUCAUGGCAAAAAUUCCGUGGACACUUAGGUUUAAACUAAAGUACUACUAUAUAAUAGUAGGUAUUACGUGGUGUUUCCACAAACAAAACUAUUAUACUGUUUUAUCGCCAUACA